rnacentral:lncRNA from 1 species
AAUGGGAAUUAGUCUGGGCUAGCUUUGCUUGAGGAUUUGUUGCACGGGAGUGAAUAAGUCUGUUGUUGAACCUGUUGUCUAGGGAUAGCUUCAUUGAGAAUUGUUAACCAUCUGAAUUGAUUAUGGAGUCCACACUAUUCGAUUACCCCAUCCUUAGGAGUUUCUUAUCCAAUUGAUUUAUCUGUCUACUUACUUGCUUCUGCUUUGUUACCUGUUGUUUAAGUUUUUAACAAUUUUACUCUGUGACACUGGUUUACUCGAUCGCAGCCUCCCUUCUGGCAGUGAGCCUUGUGAUCGAGUAUAGCAGUCCAUUUCUGCAAAUUCACUGUUUUCUGCAUCAAUCACUAGAACUGUUAGAAAAACAACCAAUUCAUGCUUGGCUUGACUUAGUGCUUUCUGAUCAUAUCUCAUUUGUUUGCAUCACACCUGAUUGGAUUGACACCUAAAAUACUACAACGACAGGAUAGUGUUUUAGGAUAAUUGAAUUGGAUUGGUAUCAUAUUCGUCACCUGAAUCUUGAUGGAAGCAGUGAUGCCAUUAAUAGAAGUCCUCAAGCUGAUUCCGGACCCUCACAGAGAUGUGAGAAACAUGAUAUUGGAAAGGCUCAACAUAUAUCAAGAUUCAGGUGACGAAUAUGAUACCAAUCCAAUUCAAGCCACCGAUGAGAGGAUUAUUCAAGAAAAGUUGGAAGAUCCUGGAUCUUUCACUCUAUCAUGCUCCAUUAGGCAAUUAACUUUCAGCAAUUGUCUAUGUGAUCUAGGAGCCUCAGUCAGCCUAAUGCCACUCUCUGUGGCAAGGAAGUUAGGAUUCGUCCAGUACAAGCCUUGUGACAUUACCUUGAUUCUUGCUGAUAGGACUUUAAGGAGACCUUUUAGCCUGCUAGAGGAUGUGCCAGUGAUGAUUAAUGGAGUAGAGGUGCCUACUGAUUUUGUUGUGCUUGAGAUGGAUGAAGAAUCUAAGGAUCCUCUGAUCUUGGGACGACCUUUCUUGGCCUCAGUGGGAGCAGUAAUAGAUGUCAGAUAUGGUAAGAUUGAUCUCAACCUUGGGAAGCACAUCAGAUUGCAGUUUGACAUCAACAAAACUCCAACAAGGGCAACAACAGAGAGAAAGACCUUGGAGAUUCAGAGAGCAGUUCUAGGAGAAGGAUUUGAGGCCGCAAAAGUGAAGGAACCAUUUCUAGUCCAAACUCAAAAAGAAGUCUGAUCUCCAAGAAAGAACCAUACAGGAGCUAGCCUACACCGUCAAAGAGCUUAGAAACAUAUUGAGUCGGGUUCAAAGGGAAGUUCAACCUCAGCCCAACGUUCACAUUGCUUCAAGAGAGGAUGCUGAGUAUGAUGAUAAGCUCGGUGAAGAAGAAGACUUCUUAAGUCUUCUCUGUCACACUUUCCCUGCGUAAUAAGUGUGAGGAGUCAAGCUAGAGACUUUAAACAAGCUCACUUGGGAGGAAGUCCCAUGAUUAUCUCUGUAAAUAAUUUUUCCUUUCUUGUUAUUUUUGAUUUGUUUUGGUUGUGUUUGUGGUUCUCAGGAAUAGAGAAACAAUCUGGAGAUAGAGUAAAAAUUCAAAAAUUUUACUCUACCAAGGAUAUGGGGAUCGAGUAUAUCAGCCCAGUGGAGUCCAAAAAUUUGAAACAUUUUUGUUGCACCCGGAGACUCCGCCAUCGAGUAGGAGGGUCGAGUAUGUGUGUUUUUGCUCACAAAAAUUCUAAUUCAUCACCACAUACUCGAUCACAAGGAGAACUAGACGAUGAGAGUGUGCAACAGAGCACCCUACCAACAUGGAGAUCGAGUAUAAUGGUCAGUAUGGUGCAAUUUGAUUAUUUUGGAGCUGAAAUUUAGAAGGAGGAUCAAGAGUUAAACAAGCUCGGAGGUACAGUAAUCAACUCUAAUGAGUUGCGAUUUUGCUAAUGGUGGUUAAGGAGAUUCUCCACUUGAGUCAAUGGAGGCAUCCCAUCAUGUCUCCUACAUCCCAUCAUGUCUCCCACCAAGCUAAAGCCACCAACUUACCCACCUCUUUCCCACAUGUUUCUAAUGAGUGCUCCACUCCCCUCCACAUGAUUUCAAGCCUAAAGUCUCAUUCAUUCUCCUCCACAUCUUCAAGGGCACACCACUCACACCAUUCCCCUAUAAAUCCAACACUUCCAAGGAGAACUAACCACACCAACUCAUCUCUCUCUCACUACAAAGCUCUACCACUCUUAGCUCACUUCUCUCUCUAAAAUCGCCAACAUCAACCUCGCAGCCUUCAUCACCACCACUCCUUUACUCGACCACCAGCCUUCAUCACGUCCGUUUCCCAUCACUUUACUCGAUCACCAAGAUCCAUUUUCCACUUCUGAGCCAAGCCGAGUCGCCAUUCCCCAUCCUUACUCGAUCACCAAGGUAGCUCAACCGUCCGCCUUUCACUCACCUUUACUCGAUCACAAGCUCUCUCCCACUGCCAUUCACUCACCUCGUUUACUCGACCACGCUCUUCCAUAACCGCUUCCAUCAGCUACAUCUAAGGUUUACUCAAUCUUUUGUCUUACCCAAGACUUUAACUCUUUCUUCCAUCUUGUUUUUGGAUCGUUUGAACUCACUAACCUACUAAUUUGUAGUUUUGAGUUUGAUUCGUUCAGUUCGAAAAAUGAGUUCAUUCAAUAACCUACGCUUCUAGCCAAGAUCACGAUUACAACGUUAAUGAGAACGAGUCAUGGUCUACAUCUCUUCCAGAAAGAGAAGGUCAUGAGUACUCUUGGCUCAGAGACGACAUCGAAAGAGGCAAGAAAACCAUGGAGGAGAUAUCCAGUUCGUUGAAGGACGUUGCAACGAAGCCUUGGAAGACAGACAAGAAAAAAAUCUCAAUGGAAGAGUACUGUGAGCUCUUCAGGCGGCAUAACUUCGUCGGGACUAGGUACCCGCAUCCAGGGACGAUGGUGGAGCUCGGUAUCUAUGACGAUAUCGAGUAUCUUUGUGAGCAAACUAGUCUAUUCACCCUCAUGAACUGUCCCUACAACGCUUACAAGGAGGAAACAAUCCAGUUUCUCUCCUCCUUCCAAGUUGAGAUCUUUUCUAAGAAGAAGAAGAAGAGAGAAAGAGUGUACGGGCUCGGCUACUUGACCUUCACCAUCCAUGGCCAAGAGUACAUCUUCCCCCUGAAGCAGCUGGAAUCUCUCUUCGAGUUUAAGAGCGGAGUAGGCACUGGCCACCGUGUUGACAGAAAAGAGUUAAUUGGACUUAGGGAGACAAUUGGAGAUGACGUCAAGUUCUUCUCUUCCCGCUCCAAGAGCAACACCAUCAGGAGCCCAGUCUUCCGCUACUUCCACCGCAGCCUCGCCAGUGUCCUCUUUGCAAGGGAAAUAACUGGUACGAUCGUCAACGGGGAGAUGGAAGUGAUGGUGAUGGCACUGCAGGAAACCCUGGGCGAAACCAAAAAUAAUACCGUGUUGGUAGGUGACAAGUCAAACUCUUCUACUGUUUUCUUCUUACUCGGCCACCUAUGGAGCUACAGAUCAUGGGCGGUGACGAAUGCCAAGAAAACUGCUAAAGGAAAAUUGUGUAUGGGUGGGCUGAUAACACCUAUAUUGUUAGCAUGUGGAGUGCCUUUAGAGUCAGAAGAGGUCCUUCCUAAGUGGGUCGACAUCGAAUACUUGAGGAAGACCACGUCAUUGGAUUGGGAGAUGCUGGAUGGAAGGUAUGCCUGGAUAUUUGAUCUUCCAGAAGCAGAAGGGGCGAGAUUUCUCCUCCCUCACCAGGCAUUCACCACGAUCAUGGACAUAAGCAAUAUUGAUUUCAAACCACCUGUUCAGAUGCUCUAUGGCGUGAACAAAGUUGUUCAACCUGCUGAAGAAGAAGGAACCAAUGCUGGAGAAAACGAAGCCGCUGAAGAAGAAGAGGACCUGGAUAUAGAGGAAUAUAACACCAGGAGGUUCCAUUUUGCUGAACACAUAUCGCCAUCAAGACAGAGCAAGAGCCUCAAUGAGAGUCAUGAGAAGAUCAGCAAGUUCCAAGACAAGUUCAUUGGUAAGUGCUUCAAGAUGUACAAAUCCAUGUAGAAGAAGUUGAAUCGCUCCUCUACUAGCACUACUGCACCAAGAGUAGACCCUCCUGAAGAGAUACCCUCCAGACGUUAUGAUUCAGAUGCACCAAGGGACUCAACCUAUGAACCGGUUCAAGACGUCUACGAAGUGCCCAGGCAAUCCGCCUAUGAAAAAAGGGAAGCAGACACUUCCUAGGCACCAGCAAGACAUUCCUCUCACGAACCUAGAGAGCAUAGGAGAAGAAGGAAACAAGCACCGGUUCACUCAGGUAGCAAGGCGAGGCUCCUCAACGCCAGGCGACCACUCAUCCGCCGCACUGACCGCCAAGCCGACCCUGCGAUCGAGUACCCUGCACCAGAGGAGGGUCGAGUAUGUGUGUUUUUACUAACAAAAAUUCUAAUUCAUCACCACAUACUCGAUCACAAGGAGAUCAAGCACCCAGCAUCCCAUGGGAAUACACCAGAGAGGAGAUGGACGACUACAUCUCCAGGACCUUCAACUGAGGUACCACACCCAACCAUCAUUGUAAAUACCAUUUUCUGCUUUUGUUUUUAUAGUGUCUCUCUUGAAAUCUCCUUCAGAUUUUUACUACACAAGGGACUAUGUAGUUUAAGUUUGGGGGAGAAUUCAAGACGUAUUUAACAUGUUUUCUUUGAGUCUUGUUUUCAAAUUUUGCAUUUCACACUUGAGUCUGCAUUCAUCUAAAGCAUAGAAAAAACCAAAAAAUUUGAAAAUUUUCUGAAAAUUUUAUUCCACAAAAACAGAGUGUUCAUCCAGUUGCAUCACAUUUAGGAUCGAGUCUAGUAUGUUUCAUAUAGGAUUGUUGCAUAUGCAUAGGGGAUUAUGAUGAAAUAGCCUUGUAAGCAUGUUGGUUCAGUAGAUAGACUCAGUGCCCUCGUUGCUAGUUGUCUGAUGCGCAGUCAAUGAAAUUGAAGUAAAACUGCACCAUGUCUUGAAUGCUCUACUCGAUCACACUGUCAUGAUUUGAUACCAUUCCCUAUCAAUUUGAACCUGAAUCUGAUUUACAAUUAUCAUGUCUUAGCAUCAAAUUUGAACUCAUGGAUACCAUAUACAUACUUGGGUUUUCUUUCAACUUUUCACCAUCCUUGCUAACCCAAGUAGCUGCUUCCAUCAUAGGAGCAGUUUCCCUAGACCUUAACCAAACCUCUCUUUUAAAAGCCCUGUAAUAUCUCGUGUGUGAUUGUGAGUCCUGUUUCAGGAUUGAGCUUGGUAGAAAGUGUUAGGUUUGAAUCGACAAGAAUAGCGUCUCAUGUAGUUCUAGUCCAUGCCAUCUGGACUAGAUAGGACUAGGUGGGAGUCUAUUUUUGGGUGGGGAUCGAGUAUAUGAGUAAAAGAAGGUAAAGGUUGAUGUUUUUAGGAGAAGGAAGUUGAGAAACAAGUUAGUCUAGUAGUGGGUUUUGAGGAACUAAAAUUCGAAUAGAUAGGCUCUGUAACAAAAGAAAGCAAAAGUCUAGAAAAGUCUUUAUUCAUAAGAAGAUAACAAGAGCCAUAGUUGUCAAAGAAAACCAAAACCCACUAGAUCCAUCAAGUAAAAAAAAACUUCUCCUUAGAACAGAGUCAGAGAAAAAGAAAGAGUGAUUUGAUCAAAGAUAAAAAUGAGAAAAAAUGCCUUGAGUGCAAAGGGUAGAACUAGGAUCAUCUUCUGGGCUUGAGGGUAGUACCAUCUGCUGGUGUAAACACGGUUUAUGAUAUUGGGUAGAUGAGAUACUGUUCUUGUAUGCAUAAGUUGGGUCUUACCUUUAGCAUUCUCCUAAAGCUCAGUCCAAUUCUUUUGAGAGUCCCCUGUUACUAAACUUGAACCACCUUAAAGGGACUGUCUUUGUCUCCUAACCUUCACCUUAAGCCAAAUGAGUUCAUUGAUGGUGCGUUGCUUGAUUCACGUUCUGAUACUAAUGAAUGUUAAAGGGAUUUGUCGAUUUGAAAGCAUGUGUAGAUCGAGUAUAAGAGUCGGAUUGAACUAUAACAAGGCAUGGCUAACGUUUUUGAGUAGAGAUCGAUCAUAUCGCAUCCUAGAACUACCAACUUGGACCUUGAUUUUAUCUAUUUUAUCUGAUGCUUUGGUUCUGAAUCCCCACCUUCAAACCUCUCCUUCAUCUUAUGUUUACUUGUUUGCUUGAGGGCAAGCAAAGACUAAGUUUGGGGGAGUUGAUAUGUCUAUAAUUUGCAUGUUUUACACAUCCAUUUAUCACCAUUUUGAGUCUAGUUUCGUUCAUCUUUUAUAGCAUUCAUCAUCAUUUCGCAUAAUUUGCAUGUUUAAGUGUGUCUAGCAUUAGUCUUGCAUGCAUUUUGCAUUCUGGAGUUGUUUCAGGUGUUUCGGAGCUAUUGGUGUUCAGAAAGAAGAAAAACAGAGCUGAAAGUCACAUUUGGACCCUUAUACUCGAUCACCAGUAGCAGAGAGGGAAGCAGUCAGCUCAGCAGACCAUCAGAACCCUUAUACUCGAUCACAGGGCAGUCCAGCCAGACAGUUCUACUCGAUCGCAGAGGAAGAGGAGCAGUCCAUCUUGCCAGUUCACUGUUAUACUCAAUCGCAAGGUUGAAGAAGCAGUCCGUCCUGACAGUCUACCCACAUACUCGUUCACAAGAGAGAAGAAGCAUUCCAGACCACGCCACCACCCAUUCUACUCGAUCACCACCUCGACCCUUUGAUCAAUCCGCACUCAACCAGACAACCUGAGCAUAGGAAAGAGAAAAGGAGAGAAGGAACCACUUGAUUGCGGCUUCGAUUCACGCUCGACCAUGAAGCCCACUUUGAGCCCAUCUACUCGACCACAACGUUCCAUGGGCCUGUUAAGCGGACUCGAAGCCCACUUACUUAAUUUUUUCGUUUUUACUAUAAAUAAGUCUCUAAGGGUUUUCCCUGAGACAUGGACUUUAUAUUUUCUUUUCAAUUACGUUUUAGACUCGCAACCUAGUUUCGUUCAGUAGCCGCUUUUGCUUCUGAAACUCUGUAUUUUCGUUUCUUCUAAGUUAUUGAGAUUUUGCUUUCGUUUCCUUGUUCAUUUCUAUUUUAUUUCCUUUAAUCUUAGAAGUUAUGCAAUCAUCAAUUGUUUCUGUGUCUUUGAGCAUGUUGUCUGAGUAGUGACUAGGAUUUCUGAGGAUGGGAUAGAGUAGUUGUGAGACCCAUGGUCGAUUCUGAUGGUUAAGUGUAGUUUUAUUGAAUCCCUUCUGGAUUAGUUGUGUUUACUGCUUAUUCCUUUCCGAUCAACUGGAAUUCGAUCCAAAGCAUUCCCGUACCCAGAAGGUGUUCGAUGGAAUGCUUGAUCUACUAAUUCCAGUAAUAAUCGUCUCUAUCCCAAGAGAUUGGCCGUUUAGAGCGGUUAUUGACUUUAACAGUAGGUUCUUAUUGCCUGCAUAGUUAGAUUCCGUUAAUGGGAAUUAGUCUGGGCUAGCUUUGCUUGAGGAUUUGUUGCACGGGAGUGAAUAAGUCUGUUGUUGAACCUGUUGUCUAGGGAUAGCUUCAUUGAGAAUUGUUAACCAUCUGAAUUGAUUAUGGAGUCCACACUAUUUGAUUACCCCAUCCUUAGGAGUUUCUUAUCCAAUUGAUUUAUCUGUCUACUUACUUGCUUCUGCUUUGUUACCUGCUGUUUAAGUUUUU